rnacentral:rRNA from 1 species
GUGCCAGCAGCCGCGGUAAUACAGAGGUCUCAAGCGUUGUUCGGAUUCAUUGGGCGUAAAGGGUGCGUAGGUGGCGCUGUAAGUCAGGUGUGAAAUUUCGGAGCUUAACUCCGAAACUGCAUUUGAUACUGCGGUGCUUGAGGACUGGAGAGGAGACUGGAAUUCACGGUGUAGCAGUGAAAUGCGUAGAGAUCGUGAGGAAGACCAGUGGCGAAGGCGGGUCUCUGGACAGUUCCUGACACUGAGGCACGAAGGCCAGGGGAGCAAACGGGAUUAGAUACCCCCGUAGUCC